UGGGUCUGGUUGGAGCCGAUGAAGAUGAGGCUAAAGUGACCGUCAGGAUACUGAGGCUCAGCGGAGCAGUGGACGGUGAAGCUGUGACCCCUGAAGACCCAGAUGUCCUUCUGCUGCUCCACCCCCAGCCCAGAGUAAAAGCUCACUGUACCACUAUACCGACUGCUGCCCAGAGCUGAGCCCCACCCAUGGUGAUCAUCACACACGUGAGUGAAAUGUAGUGUCAUUCUCACCUGAGCAGAUCACUUCGACCCCAGCAGAGGCGACCCACUUCUUCACUAUGCCACAGUCCAUCAGGGAAGGUUCUGAGCCCUGACAGUCAGAGAAGAAACGCCACACGGACUGUAGCCUUCCCAGACAGAGGCCGCCUUCUCCUACUAACCUCACAUCAGGAAGCUCUGCAAGGAGAAAAGGGGAGGGCGCCACCAUCAGUUCCAACACAACACAGAACCAACAAUGACAUAUGUUCGCUUCUUUU